GGAGGAGGCUGUGGGCUUUCCAGCUGCUGAAGACCUCGGAUCAAGGCUGGAUUCUCUUCUGGAAGGGCAUGUCUCUGGGAUCCUCUCCUGCAUCAAGGAGAGAACUGGCUGCUUCCAGGUACCACAGAGGGUUGGGAAGCUGGAAAUUGUGACUCGUGGUCCCUCUCCCUCUCCUCCUCGACCCACAUCCAUCUCAAGGUGACCAGAUCUCAGCCUGCCUUCCCUUUUCACACACAUCUCCCCCACCCGAGACAAAUGGCCGCAAGUCACUUGGUUUUCCUGCAAGGAAGUGAAGAAUCCUGCAAGGAAAUGAAAAAUCCUACGAGGAUCUGAAUGCCCUUCCUCCAGAGGGCUCCACUACUCCUGAAAAUUAUCUCCAGGAGCUCUGGAGGGGUCAACCCUACCUGGAAGCAGUUCUUAAAUUUCCGGCUGACGAAGUAGAGAGCCACGGGGUUGAUGCAGGAGUUGAGGGAGGCCAUGUUGAUCCCAAAGUAGUCCAUCACCAAGAGGAAACUGAGGAGAGCCACGCCAUCUAGAAAAGGAACUGUUGAAACAGGGUGUUUGGAAGGCACCUCCAGCAGCCUGCAGUGAGCCCAGCAGAGCUUCUGCCAGUGGCCACCAGUGCUCCCAGCACUGUGCCCUCCUGCUGGUGCCCUCACCUGAGCAGUUCACAUC